AUGGCUUGAGGAAUUUCACUGGUUGGCAUAUUCAGCGAAAGAAAAUGGCGCACAAUGUAAGUGCUGCCUACCUUUUGGCGUGAAAACCGGUGGAAUUUGCGACGUACGUCUGGGGAAACGCACCAAGAAGCCGUUCAACACUUGGAAGCACGCGAAAGAAACUUUUCGGAACCACAAAAAACUUCAUUACUAUAAAAAAUCCAUCGUUGCUUUUGAAAAUUUACGCGAUAUUCAGCUUGGCAAAACUAACUUUAUUAAUGAAAGAAAAAACUAAAGAAGAAAAUUACGAACGACUGAAACCCAUAGUUAUUGCAAUAGUUUUAUGUGGACGUCAAGAAAUUGCACUUCAUGUCCGUAGAGACGAUGAAAGUUUGUAUAAUGAAGAGGAACCAAAUGCGGAUGAUAAAACUGAUGGAAAAUAUUCGUACAAAGGAAACUUUGGUGCAAUUCUACGGUAUCAAGCUGAAGGUGACGAAACACUCAAGAAAAACCUUUUGUCUGCUUCGAAAAAUUCAACAUAUUUGAGCAAAACCAUUCACAAUGAAAUUAUCGCAUCUGUCAUGAAUUGAUAAAAAAAUCGUUGUUCGAAUAAAUCAUUCGGAAGGAUUCUCAGUUUUAGCCGAAGGAUCGACUGACAUUUCAAGCAUAGAGCAAUUUUCCAUUUGCACACGAAACAAUUUGAAUCCAUUGAAUUCACAAACAAAUAUUUGUGAGGAUUUCCUCGGAUUUGUUCCCGUCGUUUACGUUUUUGGACAAGCUCUGGCAAAUUCCAUCAGGAAUUAUCUGAUAUCCAGAUAUCACAAAUAUCCGAUAUCGGCGUGGAUUGCUCAUUCAUAUACGGCCAAAGAUAAGACGGAGCUCCAGCGGCGAGUGGCGAAUUUCAUGAAGCCCAGGCUUAUUUGAGGUUUACUUUUCCUCUCGCAAUUUAUGUGCAUUGCGCCGCGCACAGCUUCAGUUUGACCAUCAAUACAGCUUGCGAAGUAUCUUGUAUCAAAAACGCGUCGGGAACUAUCGGAGCAAUUCAAGCAUUUUUUCACCGGCCCAAAAGACAAAGCUUCUUUAAGAACAAAAUUUCAAAAAUGUCAGAGAAAAGUGAGCAAAGAAAAUAAAAAUGGGCACAGUCUCAUGAAGCUAUAUUAAGAUACGUCGAACUUCAACCGGCUGUUAUUGAAGCGUUGAAAGAAAUAGGAGAGGCCAUGAAAUUGGCUAAUGAUGCUUUGAACGACGCCAUGCGUGAAAACGAGGAUUUAUGCUUCCAAAUUGUUUAUCAAAAAGUUUCUGCAAUUUGUUCGGAAUACGAGAUUGAAAUAAAAAUACCUCGUCGAUGCAGUCGACAAAAUAAUCGUUGCAACGUUGAAGCGAAAACAGUUGAAGAGUAUUACAAAAUCGCAUUUUACAUACCUUUUCUCGACACCUACAUUUUUCAUCUUCAGAGUCGAUUCCAAAAACACAAAACUGUUUUUCAAAGUUUUGGACAGCUAUUCCUCAAACAAGGAUUCGACGAGAAGAAAUGUGCAAGCCUCUACCAAUUUAACCAAGUAAUACUGGAUUGUUCCGAGAGUAAUUUCAUUUCAUAAGUCAAAAUGUGGAGACAACGGAUCUGCAAUCAAAACAUCGAAAAUGCACUUGAUGCAUUAGCAAUCAUAAAUGGAAUAACUUUCAAAAACCGCAAACAAAAUCCUACGAGUUUUGGCGGUGAUACCCGUGACCCCAGCAACUUCAGAACGAUAAUUUUCUACUUUGAAAAUGGAGAAUGAAAGAUUAUCUGAGAAACACGAUGGGUCAAGAGCGUAUCAAUAGUCUUGUAUCUUUGAACAUUCAUCAUCGCAUAACUUUGACUGAAUUCUUAGAAAGUUUUUUUAAAAACCAUAAGAAAAUUUAAGAGCGACUAGAAUUGUUUGUGGAACAUAUAUUUUUUCUUGAUCAGUCAUAUUGAUUAAAUUCGUAAUUAUCCUCUUUGUUAUUAUCUUCUAUUGCAUUAACUAUUCGAAAAUAAAUUACGAAAUUCUAUUAAUAUUUUUGUGUUUCAACUUCACCAAAAUGCCCAAUAAAAGCAUAAAAUUUGAAAGUAUAUGAUACCAUGAGGGGUUCCGGACCCGAAAACCCCCGCCUCGUGGAUCCGCCACUGGUGUCAAUUGUAAGAAUUGUUUGUGUUGUUUUUGAAAUGUGUGUAUUUGUGUACCCCCUGAAAAGGAAAAAGGUAAAACAAAGUAUUAUUUUCAAACGGAGUAACAAAAAUAGUUUCAAUAAAUUUUGACUGUGUUUCGUUCUCUUUUAAAUGAACGCACACUUUUUUGCACUUUUUUUUUAUAUUUGGAUUGAGGUCAGAUCCUUUAAUUUAGAAAAUUAGAAGAAGUUAUUAGUUAACUUAUACGAAAGGUAUCCAAAAUCUACUAAGACAUAAUUUUCAAUCCUGAGACAGUAUUGACCGAUGAAGCUGUAGCUCUUCUUAUGGAUGAGAGCUUAACAAAAAAAAACAGUGUUGUUCAAUAAGGGAGCUAGCUAAGCAUAAUAUUUUUCCCUAGUGAAACAAGGUGGAUAAAAAAAAAUGACUGCCAUCCCUUUGAAAUGGUGUAGAACAAAUGCAAUGACAAUAGAAAUGAGUUAUGUUAAGUUGAGGCGACGAUGCGGGGCCAGUCACUGACACCCCCAUCCACUUGAGCCGCCGGGGCUACAUAUGAUACCGCAUAGGCAAGAGGUCUUACAAGGGGACCUCCCCCUCCUAUCUACUAAUGUGCCCAAGAGUGUGCUAUUUUUCCUGCGGCUCGCGGUCCCAUCAAGCUUCCCGGAUGAAGGUAACAAGUCUGCGUGGAGCGAGGUGUGUUAGGUCCGUGAGUGCAAUGACACAGGAGGUGUGCGGCGGUCUCUUCCUCUUCUACAUCCCCACAGCUCCUGCAGUAAUCAUAGUGUGGCACCGCUAAUCUAACCACCUAGUGAUGGCCUUGGCUGCAAGACUGCUGUCCUGCCUAAUGAGAGUGAUAAGCAUCAUUGAUCUUUUCCUAGA